rnacentral:rRNA from 1 species
CCCUUAGAUGUUCUGGGCCGCACGCGCGCUACACUGACGAUGGCAACGAGUUUUUCCUUCGCCGAAAGGUGUGGGUAAUCUUUUGAAACAUCGUCGUGCUGGGGAUAGAUCAUUGCAAUUUUUGAUCUUGAACGAGGAAUUCCUAGUAAGCGCGAGUCAUAAGCUUGCGUUGAUUACGUCCCUGCCCUUUGUACACACCGCCCGUCGCUACUACCGAUUGAACGUUUUAGUGAGGUAUUUGGACUGGGCCUUGGGAGGUUUCGGCCUCCCUUGUUGCUCGGAAAGACUCCCAAACUUGAGCGUUUAGAGGAAGUAAAAGUCGUAACA